UGCUUCGACCUAUGACACUUAAUAGCUUUUUAUUUUUAAUGAAAUUAACUAUGUUCGCGUUUCAAUAAUUACAGAUAUUGCUUCUAUUGUUAAUUACUCGCCACAGCUUUAAUUAUAUUUUUAAUUACCCGAUAUAUCGUGUACAAUUCAUCGAACAUGAUACGUUUUCAAGGAGGCUUCCAAAUUCGUAUCUAUUCUCGUUUAAUUAUAUAUAGAGAGCUACUUAUAAGAAAGGUUAGAUUGAGAGGUUCGAUACAAUGUCCCUCGAGACAUGUAUCGAGUUUAACAAGCGCUCCUUAUUCGUCCUUUUAGGAAAUAUCGAUAUCGCGCAAAGUCGAAUAUGCGGAUAUAUAUCGAAGGAUCCAUCGAGAUAAACGAUUGCGACAGUAAACAUAAACGCAAUAUGGACGCGGCGCUUGAUUCUUUCGCGUGGUUUUCUUUACAAACGUUAUAAACUUUAUCCUCGCAAAGAAUUUAGGACGUGAGUAGUGCAUACUAGUCGGAAAUGAGUGUUGUAUAAAAAAUUUCGUUUUCUUGCGCUCGUGCAAGUCGUCUGCUUUCGAAAAAUCAAGAGAAAAGAAAGAAAAGGAUUCUAACCUACUUUCAUUUGCUUUGAUAAAACAUGUGCGCAUACACGGUCACGUGCUUCGCUAAAAAUAAAACGUCUUAAUUCGAUUGCUUGUUUCGCAGAUAAUUCGUUUCAUAAUUCUUGGCAUAAAAACCAUGCUAUAUUAUAUAACCAUGCGAUAAUGGAUAAUCGACAAACUAUCAAAAUAUCGAUAAAAGAAGAUGACGAAAAUCUUAGAUUCAGUGGCCUUCGAAUCAUGACUUUAUAACGAUUUUAUAUUUAUCUAUGUAUCUCUACGAAUAAUAAAUUCGAUUUGGUGUAUAUACAAUACAAUUUUUAAGAUGGUGAACGAAAUAAACCAUUUCCGAUUGUAUCCUAGUAUAUGGGAAUAUAGUUAUGGGAAAUUUCUUUCGGAAGAAUUGCAAUAUUGAAGUUUAUCGCAAGAUUUUCCAUAAAAUAUGACGUAUAACGGAGAAACAUAACAGAGAUAGAAAAAGAGGUACAAUUUCCAACCUAUUUUCAUUUCCUUCCUGCGAGAGGAUCGUUUCAUCCAAAUUGAUGACUGUACGAAUGAAGAUAAAAGUGGAGAAAGUACCAGAAAAGGAAAAUUGCGGAAAAUCUUACUUCUAAGACUUCGUGACCCCGAAGAAGUUAUCCUUCAAGGUAGCGAGCUGGAAGGACAAAAAAGUAAAGAUGUUCGAAGAAAUCUUUUGACGAGAGGAAUGAGUAAGUUUGCAAGAAGAAAAGGAAAAGAAUUUAUUUUAAAAGAAGCAUACACAGAAUGAGGUGUCGAUGGUAUAAACUGCUACGCAAAUGUAAUUUUUAAAUUUCACCGUUAAAUUAUAUCGGUAAUUCAAUCUCGGUCUAUUUCGCAAUUAAAUUGUUUUCGAUUUCGUUUUGCA